AUUUUGAACACGACCCUGGGCCGGUGAGCAGCAGACAACAGACGGCAGCAUAGAAGAAAAUACAAUGGAGAUGGAAAGAGCUAUCGAAAAUCGUGGAUGCUGCCUCGUCCGGAAGUUCCGCAAGUCCUUGCGACGCCAUCUUUUAUUCAUUCUGACUCUCUCGGCUGUCAUCUUUGGGUUUACAUUGGGCUUUUUAUUGCGUCUGGCCGAACCGUCAGCUGAUGCACUGCUAUGGCUGGGUAUGCCUGGGGAGCUAUUUUUACGUUUGUUGAAAAUGAUGAUCAUUCCUUUGUUAGUGUGCAGUGUCAUACACAGUGAGUGAUACACCAGGUGUCAUAACGGGCACAGCGUCUUUGGACCCCAAGUCUAACGGAAAGAUCAGCAUUGUGGCCUUCGCCUACAUAAUGCUUACAAACAUAUUGGGUUGUCUAAUAGCAAUAGCGCUGUUCUACGUCAUCAAGCCAGGUAGUGAAAGUCCCCUAGUUGAAGGCAAAACAAACGUAUACGAGGCCGUCCCACAGGAUAUAUUUGCAGAUUUACUCAGAAACAUAAUUCCAGAUAAUAUGGUGGAGGCAACAUUUCGACAGACACAAACAAAAUAUUCCCAUGAAAUGGUAGAGCAAUUUCAAUUGGUUGAUAAUUCAACCCGAAAGAACAUAUCAUCCAAUCAAAAUUCAACAAUUCAAAUGGUUCAGAAACUUGUGAAAUCAGUAGGGAAAACAGAUGGACCUAAUAUACUUGGUCUUAUCGUUGCCUGUAUGUUUUUGGGAACGGCUGCCGGAAAAAUGGGAAAGAAAGCCAAACCAUUCCUGGACUUCUUUGCCGUUAGCACCGAAGUGGUAUUACAGGUGCUCCGAUGGUUUCUUUGGAUGACACCGGUGGGUAUAUCAAGUCUGAUCGCAGCCUCCAUAGCAGGUACCCGUGACGUCACAGGCACCUUCUCCAGUCUUGGUCUGUUCGUUUUGACUGUGACCCUAGGGAUCGUUCUUCAUCAAGCGCUGUUUCUCCCCCUCAUCUUUUUUCUCACCACUAGGAGAAACCCGUAUACUUACUUUUUAAGUAUAGGCCGUGCCUGGCUUAUAGGAUUUGCCGCCACUAGCACAGCUGUAGCCAUUCCUGAAAUGUUAAACGCUUGCGAGAACAAGAAUCACAUCGACAAGAGGGUCAGUCGAUUUGUCAUCCCUUUCUGUGUGACGCUUAACGCUGAUGGCAGCGCCCUCUUUAUUACAGCGGCGGCCAUGUUUAUCGCCAACAUUUCCGGUCACCCGUUGACGUUUGGAGAAGUCGCCAUUAUCGGUUUACUGACAGCCAUUGCCAGCCUUGCCCUGCCAUCUGUCCCUAGCUCAAGUAUCGUCACCCUCAUCAUGGUCCUGUCCUCAAUGAAUGUCCCCGUACAUGCUGUGUCCCUACUGUUUGCUGUUGAGUGGUUCUUGGAUCGAAUUAGAACAACUUCCAAUGUCUUAAGCCAUACUCACUGCGCGGCCAUCACGCAUCAUUUUAACCGACAGGGUCCAGGAAAAACGGAAGGACCGGUAAUGAUUGAGGAGGAAGUAGAACUUAUAGUACAUUCACCAGAUGCGUACAACUCUUAAUCUUCCGGAUUGUGCAAUAUAAAUUACAAAAAAUUACUGCCAAACAGCUUGUAAAACUAGGCAUUGAAUCUCAGUUAUGUCAUAUAUCAUAAUGUUGUGAAGAGUUAUUUUUCGAAGAAAAAAAGAUCAUUUAUUUAUCUAUUAUUUUGUUUAAAAAUAUAUAAGAUCUUUAUAUUCACUGCUUUUUGUGAUUAUGAUCUUUUUACAAAAGGAUUGAUUGUCUCUCUGUACAAGAAACCUCAAGUUAGUUAUACAUACUACUGACGUUAUAUGUUGAACCGUUGUGAUUGGUACUGUUGAAUAAAAUUCUAUUUAUUUUG
rnacentral:misc_RNA from 1 species